AACGAACGCUGGCGGCAGGCUUAACACAUGCAAGUCGAGCGCCCCGCAAGGGGAGCGGCAGACGGGUGAGUAACGCGUGGGAAUCUACCGUGCCCUACGGAAUAACGCAUGGAAACGUGUGCUAAUACCGUAUACGCCCUACGGGGGAAAGAUUUAUCGGGGUAUGAUGAGCCCGCGUUGGAUUAGCUGGUUGGUGGGGUAAAGGCCUACCAAGGCGACGAUCCAUAGCUGGUCUGAGAGGAUGAUCAGCCACAUUGGGACUGAGACACGGCCCAAACUCCUACGGGAGGCAGCAGUGGGGAAUAUUGGACAAUGGGCGCAAGCCUGAUCCAGCCAUGCCGCGUGAGUGAUGAAGGUCUUAGGAUUGUAAAGCUCUUUCACCGGUGAAGAUAAUGACGGUAACCGGAGAAGAAGCCCCGGCUAACUUCGUGCCAGCAGCCGCAGUAACAC
rnacentral:rRNA from 1 species